CCUACGGGAGGCUGCAGUGAGGAAUAUUGCACAAUGGGGGAAACCCUGAUGCAGCGACGCCGCGUGAGUGAAGAAGUAAUUCGUUAUGUAAAGCUCUAUCAGCAGGGAAGAAAAUGACGGUACCUGAGUAAGAAGCCCCGGCUAACUACGUGCAAGCAGCAGCGGUAAUACGGCGGGGGCAAGCGUUAUCCGGAUUUACUGGGUGUAAAGGGAGCGUAGACGGCAGUGCAGGUCUGGAGUGAAAGGCGGGGGGUCAACCCCCGGACUGCGGUGGAAACCGGACGGCUGGAGUGCAGGAGAGGUAAGUGGAAUGCCUGGUGUAGCGGUGAAAUGCGUAGAUAUUAGGCGGAACACCAGUGGCGAAGGCGGCUUACUGGACUGUAACUGACGUUGAGGCUCGAAAGCGUGGGGAGCAAACAGGAUUAGAUACCCGUGUAGUC
rnacentral:rRNA from 1 species